AGCUGGGUGUGAGUCCGCGGAGCUGAGAGCCUUGCCCUCUGCUCCAUCCUCCUCUUUUGGGGGUCUCCGCGGUGUCAGGACUUGGAGAGCCUGGUCGUGGGACUUGAUCAGAGAGGCCUUGAGUGCAGUGGGUGCUUAUCUGGUGACUGUGGCCCUGAGGUCUGGGACAGACACUGCCAGUCUUUCUGGGCCACACCCACGGGGACUGCCAGCCCCCCUGGGCUUGGCACAGUGGAGGGGAGCCUCCACCACAGUGGAGGAGAGACACACCCAAGGCCCUGGAUGUGCCCGGCUCUCUGCAGCUGUGGGUGCCUCAGGCCGGCCGCCGAUGGGUCUCAGUUUCUGAGGGGGUGGCAGUGAAGUUGCAGAGAAGAAACCUAUGAAGGUGCCCUGUCAACUGCCACACGCCGAGAUGCACAUUGACAGCCCAUCACCGCCUCUUGCCUGUCCUCCCCGGGGACCGGCAGAUCAUGGGAGAUGAUUUGUCAAGGGGAGACACAUUUGGGUGACACCAAGCCGAGCUUCCUGUCUUGAGACGCUUUCUGCUUUCUCAUCUUCCUGCUAAUGAGUUGCCUUUUGUGUGUAUCCCACUUCCUGUCCCACCCAGCCCCAAAUGUCCGUGGAACCGGCCCCACUAACCUGCAUCCAGCUGCCUCUUCCACCUGGGCCCUGCUCUCAGAUGGAAGUGUCACCAAACACCCAGAUCGCCGUGCUCCUGCUUCUCUGGGUUCAAUGAGACCCUCCACCCAGAUGAGCAUGAGCCCAGCCAGGGUGGGCUGUUCAGUUUCUUCCCUGGGAAUCUGGAGCUGGAUUGAGCUGGUCUGCAGCCUGGUCUGAGAGCCCAGCAGGCUCGAGACACUGCAACCUGGCCUGGCCGUGGGCAGGCAGGGAGUGGAGGUUGCGGCAUCGUCUGGGCAGAGGAGCUGGGGCGUUUGCCAGAAGUCUCCAACGGGCCAUCUGGUCCCAGAGAGCAGAGCACACAGCCUCAAGAAAUACGAGAAAGGCGGCAGGGGCAGGUGAGCUACAAAGAGGGCUCCCCUGGGCAGUUUCAUUUUUAGGGGAUUGUUUCAUAUAUCUUCGGACCUUCAGGGUUUUAAUAUGUUUGAAGCUGUGCAGUGAAGCCCAAGGUCCUCUAUGUGACCUUGCAACCCCUCUGGGCCUUGGCCAGCUGCCGCUCUGCCCCUUGCCUGCCCUCCAGACUCUGGUAAACAUCAGCAAACCUGGAUGGAGAGGAACCGUGGAUGAGGAUGAAGUGGGGAGUAGGUCCUCCAAAUCCUUCCAAAGCCACCUCAUCCUUCCAGCUAGCUCCAGGCAGGAGCAGCAAGCUCCCUGUGCUGUCCUGCAUCAAACAGGCAAGGACAGCUGGACACGGAGAGAAGAGGCUGCAGGAGAAAUGAAAUUACCUCCACAGCCCAGGCAAGACAGCAGCCAGGGGUGCCUAUCUGCCAGCUGUGCAGGAAAGACCCCUUCCCCACCAUCCCCCGCUGGUCGGGGAGAGCCACACUUGCUUUUACUUAUACUCAGUAGGUGUGAUUAGCAAUGCGAGUCUGGGAAGUUUUUUUCUCGAACUAGAAACCUUGGGUGGCACCCUUGUUGGGGUAACAGUGAGAGGUGUGGGUGACAGAGGGGAGGGGCCUUGAUGCUUCCUUGCUCUUGGCAGGGGGAGCUGGCUGGUGGAUGAUUCAUUCAUUCAGUAAUUGUUUAUCUAGAGGAAAUGAUGGGCAAAGGCCCUGUGGGGUGGGCAGUGUCAUAUGAGGUGUCAGGAGGUGGCUGCAAAGGAGAGGAGCUUGCAGGGGUUAAGGCAGCUGAGGGACCUUAACCCGAGGUGGCACCUGGCUUAGCUCUCAUAGCUGUGGUUGCUGCUUUUACGGUAGAUUAGAUUUUCCUGAAGCAUGGCAAGAAAGAAUAGUUGGGACAGGCUAGGUUUCUGAGCAGAAUGCAACCUUUGGCAAAACCCCAUAAAAUACUCUGUAGCUUAAAAAAAAUCCCCAGACCUCAGCCAACUAUAGUUAUGCUCCUAAACCAGUUCAACAGAAGCCCUUACAUGACUGCUGAUCUGGGUGGCAGGUGGUGGCUGUCUGCACCCUAGGCUGCAGGGAGGAUGGCCCCGGGAGCCCCCAGACCACAGACACCAACAGAGGCCCGGGGUGGGGUGGGCGGUACCAGAGGCAGCUGCCGAGGACUCUUGGAGAUGCUCCCUCUGCUCCUCCUUUUGCCACCAGGGGCCUGAAAAAGGAUUUCCUUCCGUGGGAAAAUCCAGAUCGGCCUCCCUGUCACCUCUUCUUCACCCUCAUUCGUUCCUCCCCCUGGGAUAAUCUGACUGUGCCUGUUCAGCUCUGUGGCUAAACAGAGUGGAUCCUGUCAGUCCUCACCCUACGGAUCGCUGAGGUCCUGCACCUUUCGCUUGGCCAUGCUCAGCUCCGGGGCUCCCACCCGCCUUGCCUUUACCCCGGGACUGCUCUCCGCCUCCGUGGCUGGGUCCUGUCCUCGGGCUCCCUUCUUCAGUAGCAAGGACCUUAGGUCCUCAUCCUUGAGCCUCUUCUCUCCCAAACAGACCCUUGUACCUGAGCUUGUCCACUCCCGAGGAGAACAGACAUGUGCCCAGGCCUCGGAAAUCUGUUGUUUCUAGGCUUCCUCUCUGUAAAGUUCCUGAUUCAUAUAACUCAUUGUAGGAAUUGUGACUGGACAUCCAGAGGCAUCUCAACUCCAUUGUGUCCCAAACUGAACUGGUCCCCUUUCCCCCACAUCCCUGUCCCUCCUUCAGUAUCCUCUACUCGGAGAGUAAUGUCACCUCCUAAACACCCAGCCCAGAAGCCCUGGGGUCAGAGGAAUGCAGGCUUUGGAGUCAACCACCAGACUCAAAUCCUGGCUCUACCACCUCCUGUGUGAUCCUAGCAAGUUCCUGAGCCUCUCUGUGCCUUAGUUUCCCAGAUAGCAUCAGCGCUCCUCUUAUAGACUUCUAGUGAGGAAACAAUGAGAUAUUCCAUUAGAAGUGGCCAUACAGAUAGCGCUCAGUAAAAAUGAGCUGUUAUUAAUCCCCUUCCCCCAACACACACACACACACACACACACACACACACACACUCACUCACUCAGCCAGUGACUCAGUCUUGUGGGCUCCACCUCAUCUCCAGAUCCAGGUCCCAUUCACUGCCACAGUGGUGGCUCCGACCUUCCCCAUUCCCACCCUCAGCAGCUGCAGUCACCUCCUUAUUGGUCUUUCUUCCUGCAUGGUCUCCCUACUCCCAUCUUGGUGAAUAAUUCCUUUUUAACAACAACAACAAAAACCUUUUUGAGAUAUAAUUCACAUAUCAUACAAGUCGAUCAUUUAAAAUGUAGAAUUCAAUGGCUUUUAGCACAUUCAUUGGGUUAUGUGACCACCUCCACAACCGAUUAUUUUUCUUUUUUUUUUUUUUUUUUGAGACAGAGUCUUGCUCUGUUGCCCAGCCUGGGGUGCAGUGGCGCGAUCUCGGCUCACUGCACGCUCCGCCUCCCAGGUUCAUGCCAUUCUCCUGCCUCAGCCUCCGGAGUAGCUGGGACUACAGGCACCCACCACCAUGCCCAGCUAAUUUUUGUAUUUUUAGUAGAGAUGGGGUUUCACCAUGUUGGUCAGGAUGGUCUCAAUCUCUUGACCUUGUGAUCCGCCCACCUCGACCUCCCAAAGUGCUGGGAUUACAGGUGUGAGCCACCAUGCCCAGCCUUACAACUGAUUUUGUAGCAAAUUUUCAUCACUCCAAAAAGAAACCCUGUGUGCAUUACCACUCACUCCUCAUUCCUGCCUCCUGACCCUCUCCCACCCCUAGGCAGCCACUAAUCUACUGUCUGCCUCUAUAGAUUUGCCUAUUCUGGACGUUUCAUAUUAAGGGAACCCUAUACUAUGCGGUCUUUUGUGGCUAGCUUCUUUUACUUAGCAUAUUUCAAGGCUCAUCCUUGUAACAAGUAGCAUUCCUUCUUACGGUCAGAUAACAUUCCAUUGUGUGGAUAUACUAGGCCACAUUUUGUGUAUCCAUUCACCAGCUGCUCAACUGAAUAAUACAUGGGUUGUUUUCAUUUCUUGACUAUUACACAGUCCAUACAAAAUGCUGCUAUGAAAUUCCUAUACAGGUUUCUGUGUGGACAUAUGUUUUUGUUGCUCUAUAUACCUAGCAGUCAUAUUAGUCAUAUGGUAACUCUAUGUCACUUUUGGAGGAACUGGCAAGCUGUUUUCCAAAGUGGCUGUGCUAUUUCACAAUCUUCCCUGUAAAGUGUGAGGGUUGCACUUUCUCCACGUCCUCACCCACACUCAUUACUAUCUGUCUUUUUUACUGUGGCCAUCCUAAUGCCUGUGAAGUGGUAUCUCAUGGUUUUGAUUUGCAUUUGCCUGAUGGCUAACGGUGUUCAGCAGCUUUUCAUGUACUCAUUGACCAUUUGUGUAUCUUCCUUAAGAAACGUCUAUUCAGAUCCCUUGCCCGUUUUAAAUUAGAAUAUUUAUUUAUUUUUAUUAUUAUUAUUUUUGAGACGGAGUCUCGCUUUGUUGCCCAGGCUGGAGUACAGUGGCGCAACCUAGGCUCACUGCAAGCUCCGCCUCCUGGGUUCACGCCGUUCUCCUGCCUCAGCCUCCCGAAUAGCUGGGACUACAGGCGCCCGCCACCACGCCUGGCUAAUUUUUUGUAUUUUUAGUAGAGACGGGGUUUCACUGUGUUAGCCAGGAUGGUCUCGAUCUCCUGACCUCGUGAUCCGCCCGCCUCUGCCUCCCAAAGUGCUGGGAUUACAGGCGUGAGCCACCACGCCCAGCCAGAAUAUUUAUAUUUUUAUUAUUGGUUUGUGAGAGUUCUUCAUAUAUGCUAGAGACAAGUCUCUUAGGCGUAUGAUUUACAAAACUUUUCUCCAUUCUGUGGGUUGUUUUUUCACUGGCUUAAUAGUGUCUUUUAAAACACCAAAGUUUUUAAUUUGAACGAAGCCCAAUUUAUCCAUGUUUUUCCUUUGGUUGCUUGUACUUUUGGUGUCAUGUUUUAAAAACCAUUGCCUACCUUGAUGUCAAAAUUUACGUCUAUAAUGUUGAGAAAAGAGAACUCUUAGAUGCUAUUGGUGGGGAAAUAAAUUAGUUUAGCCAUUGUGGAAAA